rnacentral:rRNA from 1 species
UACGUAGGGGGCUAGCGUUGUCCGGAUUUAUUGGGCGUAAAGAGCGUGUAGGCGGCCAGGUAGGUCUGGUGUGAAAACUCGAGGCUUAACCUCGAGAUGUCAUCGGAAACCAUCUGGCUAGAGUCCGGAAGAGGAGAGUGGAAUUCCUGGUGUAGCGGUGAAAUGCGCAGAUAUCAGGAAGAACACCAAUGGCGAAAGCAGCUCUCUGGGACGGUACUGACGCUGAGACGCGAGAGCGUGGGGAGCGAACAGG